GGAGGGUGCAAGCGUUAUUCGGAAUCACUGGGCGUAAAGGACGCGUAGGCGGGAAGCCAAGUCUGAUGUGAAAUCCUAUGGCUCAACCAUAGAACUGCAUUGGAAACUGGUUACCUAGAGUAUGGGAGGGGGAGAUGGAAUUAGUGGUGUAGGGGUAAAAUCCGUAGAUAUCACUAGGAAUACCUAAAGCGAAGGCGAUCUCCUGGAACAAUACUGACGCUAAGGCGUGAAAGCGUGGGGAGCAAACGGGAUUAGAUACCCCGGUAGUCCACGCCCUAAACGAUGAACACUAGUCGUCGGGAUGCUAGUCAUCUCGGUGAUGCACUUAACAGAUUAAGUGUUCCGCCUGGGGAGUACGGUCGCAAGAUUAAAACUCAAAGGAAUAGACGGGGACCCGCACAAGUGGUGGAGCAUGUGGUUUAAUUCGAAGAUACGCGAAGAACCUUACCUAGCCUUGACAUUGAUAGAACGGACCAGAGAUGGACCGGUGCCCUUCGGGGAACUUGAAAACAGGUGCUGCACGGCUGUCGUCAGCUCGUGUCGUGAGAUGUUGGGUUAAGUCCCGCAACGAGCGCAACCCUCGUCAAUAGUUGCCAGCAGGUUAAGCUGGGCACUUUAUUGAGACUGCCUUCGCAAGGAGGAGGAAGGUGAGGACGACGUCAAGUCAUCAUGGCCCUUAUGGCUAGGGCUACACACGUGCUACAAUGGGGCGUACAGAGAGUUGCGAUACCGCGAGGUGGAGCCAAUCUCAUAAAGCGUCUCUCAGUUCGGAUUGAAGUCUGCAACUCGACUUCAUGAAGCUGGAAUCACUAGUAAUCGUAGAUCAGCAAUGCUACGGUGAAUACGUUCCCGGGUCUU
rnacentral:rRNA from 1 species